AUUGAACGCUGGCGGCAGGCCUAACACAUGCAAGUCGAGCGAGCGGCGGACGGGUGAGUAAUGCAUGGGAAACUGCGUGAUGGAGGGGGAUAACUACUGGAAACGGUAGCUAAUACCGCAUACCAUCAGAUGUGCCAAGCUGGGAUUAGCUAGUAGGUGGGGUAACGGCUUACCUAGGCGACGAUCCCUAGCUGGUCUGAGAGGAUGACCAGCCACACGUGAACUGAGACACGGUCCAGACUCCUCCGGGAGGCAGCAGUGGGGAAUAUUGCACAAUGGGCGCAAGCCUGAUGCAGCCAUGCCGCGUGUGUGAAGAAGGCCUUCGGGUUGUAAAGCACUUUCAGCGGGGAGGCGUUACCCGCAGAAGAAGCACCGGCUAACUCCGUGCCAGCAGCCGCGGUAAUUC
rnacentral:rRNA from 1 species